UCAAAUCUCAAGCGGCGUACCAGGAUGGAGCACUCGUACAUGGCUUUCACUUCAAAUUUACCAUUCCUGAAUUAAGUAAUUCUUGAAGGCCAUAGGCAACCAAAGUUCAGAGACCUCUUUAGCGGCUGUACUAAAAAAAUUACAUGUCAGACAGUAGUCAAAAGGUAGUUGAACUUUCAAGUGGUGCUUAUCUGUACUGAAGAAAUAGAAUAACGUGAGGAUAAUAUUAUAGAACUUGAAGAUGAAGAGAAGUUAACAUGAAACCGAUAGACCUCUUAUUAUUCAGUUAGUUAGCAC
rnacentral:lncRNA from 1 species